rnacentral:rRNA from 1 species
UACGUAGGCAGCGAGCGUUGUUCGGAGUUACUGGGCGUAAAGGGUGUGUAGGCGGUUGUUUAAGUUUGGUGUGAAAUCUCCCGGCUCAACGUGGGAGGGUGCGCCGAAUACUGAAUGACUUGGAGUGCGGGAGAGGUGAGUGGAAUUCCGUGGUGUAGCGGUGAAAUGCGUAGAUAUCAGGAGGAACACCGGUGGUGUAGACGGCUCACUGGACCGUAACUGACGCUGAGACACGAAAGCGUGGGUAGCAAACAGG